rnacentral:rRNA from 1 species
UACGAAGGGGGCGAGCGUUGUUCGGAUUUACUGGGCGUAAAGAGCGUGUAGGCGGCCAGACAGGUCAGCUGUGAAAACUCGAGGCUCAACCUCGAGACGUCGGUUGAAACCGUCUGGCUAGAGUCCGGAAGAGGAGAGUGGAAUUCCCGGUGUAGCGGUGAAAUGCGCAGAUAUCGGGAAGAACACCCGUGGCGAAGGCGGCUCUCUGGGACGGUACUGACGCUGAGACGCGAAAAGCGUGGGGGAGCGAACAGG